rnacentral:lncRNA from 1 species
CAAAGGGCUUCUAUUGUUUGGUGUGAUUUAACCUUAAGAUGGAAACAUCUGAGCCUUGCUAGAGAGGCUUCCCCGGAACAACGGCUGGGGGUGGGGAGCUGUGACUUAUCAGCUUCCCUAUGUUUAUUUUCAUUUCCUGAUGGAGAGUAAAUCUUAUAAACAAAUGAAAAACCUGUGGACUUAUCUUUAAAGACUACAAGGAAAAGGGGAACUGGGCAAACUAUUGCAACUCAAAGUCGUGGAAAGGCAGGAGGGGGAGUGGGGAAUUUAGAAAGAUAUUUCCAAGAGAUGGCAGAUAGGUCCCUGGGGGCCUGUGGCCAGCCUGGAGAGGGAGAGACCAAGCCAGAGGCUGUGGAAAGCUCUAGAGACUUUGUACUAGAAAGGCUGCUGUUGGUGGCAGAGCUUACAUGGCCAGGGAUCCCGGAGGACCUGGAAGGGGUUUUAAUGGACUUUUGAGAAUCAAAGUGAACUGCCAGGGACAAACAAGAGUGGCGAGGAAAUGGAAGCAGUCAUACCACUCAGGCUGGAAAAUCGCUCUAGGAAUGGCAAGAAGGGCUCUUUCUCACUUGGAUGGUCCCCAGAAAGUCAGCUGCCAUGUCACGAAGUGCCCUGUGAGAAGGACCUGUAAGGAGGGACGGAGGGAGGCCUCUAAAUGACAGCCUUCGAGGAACUGAAUCCUGCUGGUGACCAUGUGAGGGAGCUUGGACUCCGGUCCCCCUGUGUUGAGCCUUCAGAUGAGUUGGCAGCCCCAGCUGGUGGCAUGACUGUAACGUCCUGAAACACCUUCAGCCAGAAAGCAUUCAGCUAAACCACACCUGUAUUUCUGACCCAAAGAAAUUGUGAGAUAAUAAACAUUUCUUCUCUUGAAAAAAAAAAAAAAAAAAAAAAAAAAAAAAAAA